rnacentral:lncRNA from 1 species
UAGGGUUGUUAAGGUUUGAGGAGGAACCUCAUCUACCUAGGGGCAGUUGGGGGUUCGUCGAGGCUGCACUGGAGAUUCCCGUCAAGGCUAGACUAUGAUGCAUUGAGGAUUUCAAAGCCUCGAUGGAGUUUGAGGAUAAGCUCGUCGAGACAUCUUCGACUGGGUUCAUCCAAGGCUUCAAAGACUGUAAGGCAAGUAUGAAGAAGAUAGUCCCCAAGCUAGAUCUGAGGCACCUCUGACCCGACAAUAAUGACGAGGAGGUCAGGACAUUUUUUUAGAUGAAGACUAGGUCUUCAACCUUUUGUAUUUGUUUUUGAUGUCUUUGUCUUGCUGAAGUUCUACAAUAAAAUUUUAAUCAACGAAAUAUAUAUAUAUAUUUCAACAUGUUUUACCUCUUGUUUGAAGCUUUCGCUUCUCUUUAGUAUUGGCAUGGUUGGCUCUUUGCCUC